rnacentral:lncRNA from 1 species
AUGUUGCUGCCAAGGGCAGUCAGCUCAUUUGACUCUAUCUACUAUGCUGCAUUUGAGAUUUUGUCAAUGCCAUUGAAUACAAAGGUGAAAGCAAGAGCCCAUAAAUAUGGCUGCAUCAAAAAGACAUGCAUAGAAUGGUGAAAAAUUUGAGUUGCUUGAUGUUCACAUUUCUCGGCUGAGGUUGAAUGAGGCUCCAGAAACUGACCAGCAAGCCUGCAGACCAGCAGAUGGAUGGAGGAAUGACGGGGCAGAGAAAGGGAGAAGAGGAGGAACAUCUGAACGCCAAGAGGAAUAAGGCUGGGGGCAGUCCGAAAGGAUUCUGUUUGCUGGGCGGCCCGACCCCAGGGGAGGAUCAUUUUCCCACUCCAUCCCCUGCUUCUGACUCCCCAUUUAUCCUGCUG